CGUCAAGUCAUCAUGCCCCUUAUGACCUGGGCUACACACGUACUACAAUGGCCGGUACAACGCGCGGCGACACGGCGACGUGAAGCGAAUCGCUUAAAACCGGUCUCAGUUCGGAUCGGGGGCUGAAACCCGCCCCCGUGAAGUCGGAAUCGCUAGUAAUCUCGGGUCAGCAUACCGAGGUGAAUACGUUCCCGGGCCUU
rnacentral:rRNA from 1 species